rnacentral:misc_RNA from 1 species
AACGCACAUUGCGCCCGCCAGCAUCCUGGCGGGCAUGCCUGUUCGAGCGUCAUUUCAACCCUCAGGCUCUGCCUGGCGUUGGGGACCUGCGCCUCGCAGCCCCCGAAAGACAGCGGCGGUCCCGUCCCGGCACCGAGCGUAGUAGCACAUCUCGCUAUGGGCGUUCGGGCGGUGGCCUGCCGGAAAACACCCCAUUUUCGUGGUUGACCUCGGAUCAGGUAGGAAUACCCGCUGAACUUAA